AGGGUUUGAUCAUGGCUCAGAACGUACGCUGGCGGCACGCCUAACACAUGCAAGUCGAACGCAGUAGCAAUACUGAGUGGCAAACGGGUGAGUAUAAUGUGGGAAUCUGCCUUUUGGUUUGGAAUAACACGGGGAAACUUGUGCUAAUACCGAAUAAGCCUUUACAGAGAAAGCUUUAUGCGCCAUUGGAUGAGCCUGCACUUGAUUAGUUUGUUGGUAGGGUAAUGGCCUACCAAGACUUUGAUCAAUAGCUGAUUUGAGAGGAUGAUCAGCCACAUUGGGACUGAGACACGGCCCAGACUCCUACGGGAGGCAGCAGUAGGGAAUCUUGCACAAUGGGGGAAACCCUGAUGCAGCGAUGCCGCGUGAGUGAAGAAGGCCCUUGGGUUGUAAAGCUCUUUCGUCGGGGAAGAAAAUGACUGUACCCGAAUAAGAAGGUCCGGCUAACUUCGUGCCAGCAGCCGCGGUAAUACGAAGGGACCUAGCGUAGUUCGGAAUUACUGGGCUUAAAGAGUUCGUAGGUUGUUAAAAAAGUUGGUGGUGAAAUCCCAGAGCUUAACUCUGGAACUGCCAUCAAAACUUUUUAGCUAGAGUAUGAUAGAGGAAAGCAGAAUUUCUAGUGUAGAGGUGAAAUUCGUAGAUAUUAGAAAGAAUACCAAUUGCGAAGGCAGCUUUCUGGAUCAUUACUGACACUGAGGAACGAAAGCAUGGGUAGCGAAGAGGAUUAGAUACCCUCGUAGUCCAUGCCGUAAACGAUGUGUGUUAGACGUUGGAAAUUUAUUUUCAGUGUCGCAGCGAAAGCAUUAAACACACCGCCUGGGGAGUACGACCGCAAGGUUAAAACUCAAAUGAAUUGACGGGGACCCGCACAAGUAGUGGAGCAUGUGGUUUAAUUCGAAGAUACGCGCAGAACCUUACCAACACUUGACAUGUUCGUCGCGACUCUAAGAGAUUAGAGUUUUCGGUUCGGCCGGACGAAACACAGGUGCUGCAUGGCUGUCGUCAGCUCGUGUCGUGAGAUGUUGGGUUAAGUCCCGCAACGAGCGCAACCCUCACUUUUAGUUGCCAUCAUUAAGUUGGGCACUCUGAAAGAACUGCCAGUGAUAAGCUGGAGGAAGGUGGGGAUGACGUCAAGUCCUCAUGGCCCUUACGUGUUGGGCUACACACGUGCUACAAUGGCAUUUACAAUAGGAAGCAAGAUGGCGACAUUUAGCAAAUCCUAAAAAAAUGCCUCAGUUCGGAUUGUACUCUGCAACUCGAGUACAUGAAGCUGGAAUUACUAGUAAUCGCGGAUCAGCGCGCCGCGGUGAAUACGUUCCCGGGUCUUGUACACACCGCCCGUCACACCAUGGGAGUUGGUUCUACCUUAAGGCAAAGCCUAAAAACUUUGACCACGGUAUAGUCAGCGACUGGGGUGAAGUCGUAACAAGGUAACCGUA
rnacentral:rRNA from 1 species